AAUUGAGGAUUGAAUUUGAGAAAUGGAAAGACACCACAACAAAUUAUAUAGAAACACAAAUAAAAUAUAUCAAAUAAAAAUAAAACUAUAACAUAAUAAAAAUAAAAUGAAGAAUGAAAAUAUAGAGAAUAAGAAUAAAAAAGGAUUAAAUGAGAAAGUAUCAACUAUUGCAAUAACCAUGAAUAUAGAAAGAUGAUACUGAGAGAGGGGAG
rnacentral:lncRNA from 1 species